rnacentral:rRNA from 1 species
UUGGAGGGCAAGUCUGGUGCCAGCAGCCGCGGUAAUUCCAGCUCCAAUAGCGUAUAUUAAAGUUGUUGCAGUUAAAAAGCUCGUAGUUGAAUCUCGGGAUUGACGUGAUGGUCAUGCCUUAAGGGGUAUGAACUGUUGCUGUUGAUUUCUCACCUUCUGGAGAAACUUGAUGUCCUCAAUUGGGUGUCUUGCGGAUCCAGGACCUUUACCUUGAAAAAAUUAGAGUGUUUAAAGCAGGCAUUUUUGCUCGAAUACAUUAGCAUGGAAUAAUAGAAUAGGACGGCAUGGUUCUAUUUUGUUGGUUUCUAGGAUCACCGUAAUGAUUAAUAGGGAUAGUUGGGGGCAUUAGUAUUCAAUUGUCAGAGGUGAGAUUCUUGGAUUUAUUGAAGACUAACUACUGCGAAAGCAUUUGCCAAGGAUGUUUUCAUUAAUCAAGAACGAAAGUUAGGGGAUCGAAGACGAUCAGAUACCGUCGUAGUCUUAACCAUAAACUAUGCCGACUAGGAAUCAGACGAUGUUAAUUUUUUAAUGACUCGUUUGGCACCUUACGGGAAACCAAAGUGUUUGGGUUC